rnacentral:misc_RNA from 1 species
GCAUUAAUUAUCCUUGAGGAUAUUAGAUUCUACAUGAAAAAGGGAAAACAGAGAAGGACAAGUCCUUAUAACUCUCCAUUAUUUUAUUAGCAGGCUUCAGCAAAGCACUUUCGUGGAACCUAUAUAUAAUCUAAUAUCCUCAAGGAUAAUUAAUGCGUAGUAUUGUGGCAUGCCAUUUUCAAUGGAAUAGGGGGAUCAGAGAAGGCUCCUGUAGAA